rnacentral:rRNA from 1 species
GUGGGGAAUAUUGCACAAUGGGCGCAAGCCUGAUGCAGCCAUGCCGCGUGUAUGAAGAAGGCCUUCGGRUUGUAAAGYACUUUCAGUKGGGAGGAAGGCCAUUCGSUUAAUAACCUWGUCGAUUGACGUUACCCGCAGAAUAAGCACCGGCUAACUCCGUGCCAGCAGCCGCGGUAAUACRGAGGGUGCAAGCGUUAAUCGGAAUUACUGGGCGUAAAGCGCRCGCAGGCGGUCUGUUAAGUCAGAUGUGAAAUCCCCGGGCUYAACCUGGGAACUGCAUUCRAAACUGRCAGRCUAGAGUCURGUAGAGGGGGGUWGAAUUCCASGUGUAGCGGUGAAAUGCGUAGAKAUCKGRAGGAACACCRGUGGCGAAGGCGACCCCCUGACAAAKACUGACGCUCAGGNCGAAGCG